rnacentral:rRNA from 1 species
GCUCGUAGUUGGAUUUCGGGCGUGGAGGUUCGGUCCGCCGUUUCGGUGUGCACUGUCUUUCUGCGUCUUUCUGUCGGGGACGCGCUUCUGGCCUUAAUUGGCUGGGACGUGGAUUCGACGAGGUUACUUUGAAAAAAUUAGAGUGUUCAAAGCAAGCUAAAGCUCUGAAUACAUUAGCAUGGAAUAACGCGAGAGGACUCGGUCCUUAUUUUGUUGGUCUUCAAGGAUGGAGUAAUGAUUAAGAGGGACAGUUGGGGGCAUUCGUAUUUCAUUGCUAGAGGUGAAAUUCUUGGAUUUAUGAAAGACGAACUUCUGCGAAAGCAUUUGCCAAGGAUGUUUUCAUUGAUCAAGAACGAAAGUUGGGGGCUCGAAGAUGAUCAGAUACCAUCCUAGUCUCAACCAUAAACGAUGCCGACUAGGGAUUGGCAGGUGUUACAUCGAUGACUCUGCCAGCACCUUAUGAGAAAUCAAAGUUUUUGGGUUCCGGGGGGAGUAUGGUCGCAAGGCUGAAACUUAAAGGAAUUGACGGAAGGGCACCACCAGGAGUGGAGCCUGCGGCUUAAUUUGACUCAACACGGGGAAACUUACCAGGUCCAGACAUAGUAAGGAUUGACAGAUUGAGAGCUCUUUCUUGAUUCUAUGGGUGGUGGUGCAUGGCCGUUCUUAGUUGGUGGAGUGA